rnacentral:rRNA from 1 species
CCUACGGGUGGCAGCAGUGAGGAAUAUUGGUCAAUGGACGCAAGUCUGAACCAGCCCUGCCGCGUGCAGGAAGACGGCCCUAUGAGUUGUAAACUGCUUUUGUACGAGGGUAAACUCAGAUACGCGUAUCUGUUUGAAAGUAUCAUACGCAUAAGGAUCGGCUAACUCCGUGCCAGCAGCCGCGGUAAUACGGAGGAUUCAAGCGUUAUCCGGAUUUAUUGGGUUUAAAGGGGGCGUAGGCGGGCGCAUCAGUUAGGGGUGAAAUGCCGCGGCUCAACUUCGGAAUUGCCUGUGAUACUGUUCGGCUAGAGAGUAGUUGCGGUAGGCGGAAUGUGUGGUGUAGCGGUGAAAUGCUUAGAGAUCAUACAGAACACCGAUUGCGAAGGCAGCUUACCGGGCUACUUCUGACGUUGAUGCACGAAAGCGUGGGGAGCAAACAGGAUUAGAUACCCGUGUAGUC